ensembl:lncRNA
CCCAGUGAAGGCUGAGAGAGCAGAGUUUUUUACUGCUCAAUACACACUUUGAUACUCUUGAGCAUUGAAUUCUUAUUUUUGACAUUUCUAUCAAUUUUCAUCUAUUGGAUGUUAGAGCUUGGAGCCAACACAGACUACCCGAUGGACUAUCAGACAACUUCACCAAACCAAAGCUUGGAGCCAACACAGACUACCCGAUAGACUAACAGACAACUUCACCAAACAAAAAAAAGAAAAGAACACAAAAAAAUGAAAAAUAUUAAUGAAAAAAAAAAAAAAGAAAAAUACCAAAAAAAGAAAUAACCGAAGAAAAUUAAAUGAAAGGAUUGGGAGAUGGUGUGCCAGUGCACCCAGGGUCCAUGACCAUCAAGAGCUGAAUGUCAUUAUAAAAACCUAACCCUAACCCCAAUCCUAACCCAGACCCUAGCAAUAACAAACCUUAAAACCAAAUCCUUACCUUAACCAUAACCCAAUUUACAUUAAGCAACAUUGUAAAUAGUUGAAUGGUUUGAUGUUUUUUGUUUUUUAAUUUUUACAAAUAAAGUCCGGUUGGACCCACUGUAUUCCAUGACUGUUGUUGAUAUUACCACUUGUUUAAAUUAACAAUGUAUUCAUGCACCACCGGGUUCCAAACCACCUGGGGGCACCAUCAUGCCACAAUUGGCGUCUUUUUGUCGACUCACACGGCGACACUUGCCCAUAUAUUAUGCCUUUUUUGCUGUUUAUUUCUAUUCUUGUAUUGUAUGUUUUAAUAAUGUGAUCUCCGUAACACGGAAGUUGUUCCUCCCGGGAGGUCACACGGAAAAAGCUAUUACCAUGGUAAUGACCUUGUAUUGUCACUCCUGAAGAAGACCCCAUUAGGUCGAAACGUCG